AGUGAACGCUGGCGGUAGGCCUAACACAUGCAAGUCGAACGGCAGCACAGUAAGAGCUUGCUCUUACGGGUGGCGAGUGGCGGACGGGUGAGGAAUACAUCGGAAUCUACUUUUUCGUGGGGGAUAACGUAGGGAAACUUACGCUAAUACCGCAUACGACCUACGGGUGAAAGCAGGGGAUCUUCGGACCUUGCGCGAUUGAAUGAGCCGAUGUCGGAUUAGCUAGUUGGCGGGGUAAAGGCCCACCAAGGCGACGAUCCGUAGCUGGUCUGAGAGGAUGAUCAGCCACACUGGAACUGAGACACGGUACAGACUCCUACGGGAGGCAGCAGUGGGGAAUAUUGGACAAUGGGCGCAAGCCUGAUCCAGCCAUACCGCGUGGGUGAAGAAGGCCUUCGGGUUGUAAAGCCCUUUUGUUGGGAAAGAAAAGCAGCAGGUUAAUACCCCGCUGUUCUGACGGUACCCAAAGAAUAAGCACCGGCUAACUUC
rnacentral:rRNA from 1 species